rnacentral:rRNA from 1 species
UACGAAGGGAGCUAGCGUUGUUCGGAAUCACUGGGCGUAAAGCGCACGUAGGCGGAUUUGUCAGUCAGGGGUGAAAUCCCGGGGCUCAACCUCGGAACUGCCUUUGAUACAGCAAGUCUUGAGUUCGAGAGAGGUGGGUGGAAUUCCUAGUGUAGAGGUGAAAUUCGUAGAUAUUGGGAAGAACACCGGUGGCGAAGGCGGCCAUCUGGACCGCAACUGACGCUGAGGCGCGAAAGCGUGGGGAGCAAACAGG